GAUGAACGCUGGCGGCGUGCUUAACACAUGCAAGUCGAACGAUGAAGCCGAAGCUUGCUUUGGUGGAUUAGUGGCGAACGGGUGAGUAACACGUGAGUAACCUGCCCCUGACUCUGGGAUAAGCCUGGGAAACUGGGUCUAAUACCGGAUAUGACUGCGGAACGCAUGUUUUGUGGUGGAAAGAUUUAUCGGUUGGGGAUGGACUCGCGGCCUAUCAGCUUGUUGGUGAGGUAAUGGCUCACCAAGGCGACGACGGGUAGCCGGCCUGAGAGGGUGACCGGACACAAGGGGACUGAGACACGGCCCAGACUCCUACGGGAGGCAGCAGUGGGGAAUAUUGCACAAUGGGCGAAAGCCUGAUGCAGCGACGCCGCGUGAGGGAUGACGGCCUUCGGGUUGUAAACCUCUUUCAGUAGGGAAGAAGCGAGAGUGACGGUACCUGCAGAAGAAGCGCCAGCUAACUACGUGCCAGCCGCCGCCGUAA
rnacentral:rRNA from 1 species